CGGGAUUGAAGCUUGCUUCAAUUGCCGGCGACCGGCGCACGGGUGAGUAACGCGUAUCCAACCUUCCGUACACUCAGGGAUAGCCUUUCGAAAGAAAGAUUAAUACCUGAUGGUAUGAUGAGAUUGCAUGAUAGCAUCAUUAAAGAUUUAUCGGUGUACGAUGGGGAUGCGUUCCAUUAGGUAGUAGGCGGGGUAACGGCCCACCUAGCCAACGAUGGAUAGGGGUUCUGAGAGGUUAACCCCCACAUUGGGACUGAGACACGGCCCAGACUCC
rnacentral:rRNA from 1 species